AGAGUGAACGCUGGCGGCAGGCCUAACACAUGCAAGUCGAGCGGCAGCACGGGUACUUGUACCUGGUGGCGAGCGGCGGACGGGUGAGUAAUGCCUAGGAAUCUGCCUGGUAGUGGGGGAUAACGCUCGGAAACGGACGCUAAUACCGCAUACGUCCUACGGGAGAAAGCAGGGGACCUUCGGGCCUUGCGCUAUCAGAUGAGCCUAGGUCGGAUUAGCUAGUUGGUGAGGUAAUGGCUCACCAAGGCGACGAUCCGUAACUGGUCUGAGAGGAUGAUCAGUCACACUGGAACUGAGACACGGUCCAGACUCCUACGGGAGGCAGCAGUGGGAAUAUUGGACAAUGGGCGCAAGCCUGAUCCAGCCAUACCGCGUGGGUGAAGAAGGCCUUCGGUUGUAAAGUCCCGUUUUAGUUAGGAAAGAAAAGCAUUCGGUUAAUACCCGGUGUUCGUGACGUACCAAAGAAUAAGCACCGACUAACUCGUGCCAGCAGCCG
rnacentral:rRNA from 1 species